rnacentral:rRNA from 1 species
GACGAACGCUGGCGGCGUGCUUAACACAUGCAAGUCGAACGCUGAAGCUCAGCUUUUGUUGGGUGGAUGAGUGGCGAACGGGUGAGUAACACGUGAGUAACCUGCCUCCUUCUUUGGGAUAACGCCCGGAAACGGGUGCUAAUACUGGAUAUUCACUGGUCUUCGCAUGGGGGUUGGUGGAAAGGGUUUUUCUGGUGGGGGAUGGGCUCGCGGCCUAUCAGCUUGUUGGUGGGGUGAUGGCCUACCAAGGCUUUGACGGGUAGCCGGCCUGAGAGGGUGACCGGUCACAGUGGGACUGAGAUACGGCCCAGACUCCUACGGGAGGCAGCAGUGGGGAAUAUUGCACAAUGGGCGCAAGCCUGAUGCAGCGACGCCGCGUGAGGGAUGGAGGCCUUCGGGUUGUGAACCUCUUUCGCUCAUGGUCAAGCCGCAACAAUGGUUGUGGUGAGGGUAGUGGGUAAAGAAGCGCCGGCUAACUGCGUG